rnacentral:rRNA from 1 species
UUUUAUGAGAGUUUGAUCCUGGCUCAGGACGAACGCUGGCGGCGUGCCUAAUACAUGCAAGUCGAACGCCUCUUUUUCCACCGGAGCUUGCUCCACCGGAAAAAGAGGAGUGGCGAACGGGUGAGUAACACGUGGGUAACCUGCCCAUCAGAAGGGGAUAACACUUGGAAACAGGUGCUAAUACCGUAUAACAAUCGAAACCGCAUGGUUUCGAUUUGAAAGGCGCUUUCGGGUGUCGCUGAUGGAUGGACCCGCGGUGCAUUAGCUAGUUGGUG